GGGAGCGACUUGGCUUCGACAGGAGUAAGUCUGCUUAGAUGGCAUGUCGCUUUGGGCAAAGCGUAAAAAGCCCAAAUAAAAUUAAACGCAAACAACGUUAAAUUCGCUCCUGCUUACGCUAAAGCUGCGUAAGUUCAGUUGAGCCUGAAACUAAGUCAUACUAUCUAGCUUAAUUUUCGGUCAUUUUUGAUAGUGUAGCCUUGCGUUUGACAAGCGUUGAGGUGAAAUAAAGUCUUAGCCUUGCUUUUGAGUUUUGGAAGAUGAGCGAAGUAGGGUGAAGUAGUCAUCUUUGCUAAGCAUGUAGAGGUCUUUGUGGGAUUAUUUUUGGACAGGGGUUCGAUUCCCCUCG
rnacentral:tmRNA from 1 species